CAUCACACACUGUAGCCUCAGUCAUGAAUAGUGAUGAAUGAUUUCACCAGAAAUGUAUUUUGUUUACUCUCCUCAUUUACUCUGAAUGUGUCUUCCUGUCCCUGACUUGUUGUUUGUUUCUCUGCAGGAGGCUGAAUGAUGAGAAGCAGAAGGUUCUGACGGAACUCCAGGCUGUGUUUGGUCCUGAUGUGGAUUAUGACAUCAUGCCAGAUGAAGCUCCUUCAUGGCUUAACAUCAUGACAGUUCUCCUGGGAGUUUUAGGAGCUCUGACAUGCGUUAGUGUGAUUCACCUAGGGAUUACACGAAUAAGACAAAGGCACAAGCAAAGGAGAAGAGACUCCAAGGAAGACAACCCUAAUUUCUGGGCCACUGGCAUACAGGGGAUGGGCCGUCAGCAUACAACCGAGAUGCAACGUGUACCACCUCAUAUGAUAAACCCAGACAGAUUUUAUCGCUAGAUUAUUAUUGUGUGUGUGUGUGUGUGUGUGUAGAUAUAGGCCUACCUAUCUGUUAACAGUAGAGCUAAACCAUGUGUGUGUGAGAGUAGCCACCCACCCCACAUCAGAAGUGUGUGUGUGUGUGUGUGUGUGUGUGUGUGUGUGUGUGACCAAGGAUCAUUUUAAGCAUAUAGAUGAAGGUGCUGUAAAUGCAUGUAAUGUAUGCAAAUAUAUGAAAUUCUGUAAAAAGAAAGAAGGAAUGUUGCCCAUGUGGACCUAUUCAGACAGCAGUAGUUCUUGAUGAACAAUCAUUGUUAAAAUGAUCAUGUGAUAUGAAUUUGAACAUAUUCAAACACUUUUGUACAUAUACAUAUUUUUUGUUAUGGACAUCCUAGAGGGACAUAGCCUACUUUUGGCACUACUAAUUAAGGUCACAUCAAUUCAGUGGUAUCAAAUGCUAUAGAAGGCUUCUAAAUCUUUGGUGGGAGAGUACUGUUCCCAUAUACUAUUGUGUGCUGCUGCCUCUAUGAGCUGAAACUCACUGACACUGAAAUGUACACAUUCAAGAUUAGUGUUGAGAGUAAAGCUUGUAUGUAUGUAUGUAUGAGGCUGUGUACAGUACAUCCUGCAUGGAAUGUAACAAUGAUAUGUGUGAACAAGAAUAUCCUUACAGGACAAUAAAGACUCUAUACUAUACUUA